AAAAUUUUGGGAAAUAUUUGUAAGGGGAAAAUUUUUUAAAUAUAUUCCAUCAGGGUUAGGGAGUAACUGUUUACAAAAAAAAACGUAACUGUAAUCUGUUAUGUUACCGACAGAAAAACUGUAUGACUACUAGAAUUACUUUUCAAUUCAGAACCAGUGUUUAUUGAAAAAUAUAUAAUUUCAAUGCCAUAAUUGGGUUCUCAUUGGCUGUCUUCUCUUCAAACUAGCUGUUAAAAAAAGCUAGCUAAAAUGUUGACAGUAAUACAUUUCUAAAUGACAACAAGUUCAGUGAAGACGAACUUACUCAAUCGCUCUAAAAAAGUAUUCAGCAACCUUCUGAUUUUGUGUUACAAUAUUAUAUCAAAAUUGAUUUAAUAAAAUUUUAUUUCCACUGAUCAACACACAGAAGUCUAUGAUUUAAAAAUCUAUAAUGUAUUGUAUAAUUAUUCACCACGUUUAGUCAAUAUUUGGUAGAGACACUUUUGGCAGAAAUUAUAGCCAUGAGUCUCUUUAGACAAGUGUCUGCACACCAUAUCUGCACAUCUGUACACUGCAAUUUUUCCCCAUUGUUCCCCAUUGUAAAAUUACUCAUACUGUGAAAUUGGAUGGUAAACUGCAAUUUCAACUCUUGCCACAUGUGAAUAGAUGUGCAGUUGCUAGGCCUGCAUCAAAUGUAGUGCUUGUAGGCCAGAAAUCUGUGGUUCAUAGAAUCCUCUUCCACUUGGUCUCAGUGUCCCACAUGCCUUCUGAAAACUCUAGCCAACAUUUAAUGUGAGUUUAUUCAUUUUUACCACUCUGCCAUAAAGGCCACUUUCUUGAAGCACCCCAGAUAUACAGAUUCACAGAUGUGCCAUAGUCGGUCCAUUUCUUAAUAAUGGAGUUUACUGCUCUUUGGUGCUUUGAGGAACCAUAUUUCAGAACUGCUUUGAAUGUUCCUUCAUCCUCAUGAUGUUGUUUUUGUUAGGAUGUGCACCAGCCAACUGUGGGACAUAGGAGGGUAACUAAAAUCAUUUGAAACACUAAUUGCACACAUUUGAACUCCCUUCAACUACCUAAAUGAGUUCUAAAUUCAGUUGUUUGCACCAAAGCUCAUUUCGGGGUGUAAUCGUAAAGUAUGUGAAUACUUAUGCAUUCAAUUGACAGUUCAAUUGCCU
ensembl:lncRNA